UUUUUUUUUUUUUACUUCAGAAGCUCUUUUGUUUCUCUGGGAUGUUCCUUUCCCAUAGCAAUCUUGUUCUAGUUCCAGGAAUAUAAAAUUUUCUUAUUUCACUGAUAAUUUUAAUGAUUGUUUCCUUCAUCCUUGAAUAGUUUUAUUAUUCCAAGUAGAUUUUACCUGUUUAUUCUGGCCUCUGUCAUUCAUGUUAUGGGCUUUUCUCAGCAUCCGAGAUCCCAAGGUUAAUAGCUCAUUGUUAAGAGUAGAGAAUUGGACACCUAGAGCUCGGUUUGCAUUUGAGCGUCUCUGAAGCCACUCUGUGGCUGGGUGGGUUGGGGGGAAAAUUUGGGAGUAAUGCAUGACCUUGAUGUUUGUAUCUUUCCUCUUAGGCUGGUCGUAUUCUCUAGAAAAGACCCUUUACAUCUGCCUUGGCAGAUAAAGACCAGGUUUGGGCUUUUGAGAGUCGAGAAGGAGAAGCAGGUGGAAGGAUUGGCUCAUUCCGUAGUCCUGGUUUCUGUAAGAUUACAUUGUCUUUUGUCCAAGACACUUCUCACCUUACUCCCUGCAGAAGAUAAUCCUCCAGUUUUCAGUGCCGCAUGGCUGAGGGGGAAGGGCAGCAAGUACCCUGCAAGAAGGGUGGGGUAGGAUUAUUGGUAAGUCGUGUAAAUAAAAAAGUAAGCAAGUAUCAAUUUCAAGAAGAUAAAAAUAUAGCUAUGGAGAAAGAGUAACUACAGUUUGUUAAUGGAUCAGCUAGUGACCUAAUAUUAUCUGAGUCUCCUUAUUGUGGUUGCCCUCACCUCAGGUACCUUGGGCUGCUAAUUCCUGAGCCUUUGGAAGAUUUUGUUAUGUAAAUGAAAUGAUUUUCUGCCUUUUUUCAGUAGCUAGUUUGGGUGUCCUGUAGUUCCUCUUUGAUCGCUGUGUUUCACAGCUUCCAGAGUCACUUUUCUUUAAUUCUCCAUAUCUUUGUAAACUUAUGCCCUUAAAAUAAAAUUACACACACAUCUUUAUUACAUUUUAGAGAGAUUUUAUGCAAGCGCAAAAUUAGAUGUUUAUUUAACCUGGAAAUGUUGAUAUCCUCUAAAAAAAAGUAUUUGUUUACUUUUGUUUUCUUAUUUACUGUUUUAUCAAGCUCGAUGUUUAAUUUUGUCAAAUCCAAGCAUGCCAAAAUUUCGGAGUCAGAGGGAAGGGUUUCUGCUUUCUAACCAUUGUUAUUUUUAAUUUUUAGUUAUGCCUGGGGUAAUAGCUCUGUGAUGAAGAUUACCCUUCAGCUUUCUCAUCUGAAAGAAGGUUGCUCUAAGAGCCACUACAUCCAUCCAUGCCUUACUCCAAUUUGAAUUUUCUUUAGACCUCACCCCUGUUAACACAAGAAAUGAAUCAGCUCCUUUGACAUAUGGGUGCUAUUACAAACUCAAGCUAAUCCCCAAGUGACUUUGUAUUUUACUUUGGUGUGUGUCAUUUGUUGAUUGUAUGGAAUUUUAUCCCCAGUCAGAGCUAAAAUCUAGGUAAUAAAAAGGAAAAAUAAUUCAGAGUAUUAGUUAAGCGUUUACUAAACAUUUGCUGAUUACCUGUUAUAGUCAAGGCUCUAUCCUGGGAGCUAUAACGGAAGAGAAUGCUCUUGUUCUUGGAGAGGUUAUACUUUAAAAAAAAGAAACAGGGAACAAACAUGAAAUACCUAGUGAAUAUUGGAGAACCAUUCUUUCCACUUGUUUUACCAGAUGUUUGUCUUUAAAAACAAUCAGGGAAAUAGGAAAUGAAAUUAUUAAUGUAUGUAUUCGCCUUAGAUCUUGGCUUCAUUUUUUAGCCUUUAUAAAAUAGCCCUUUUUUUGGAAUCACAUAAUAUAGUGACAUAAUUAAAAUCUGUACCUGUUAGCACUCUUCCAUCAGCAUUUCUUGAAUUUUCAGUAAUUGUUUUUAACCCUCAAAGAUUACUUUAGGAGAAGAAUAUGAUAGAAAAAAAGGUAAUUUGAAAAAAAGGGAAAUGUUUUAUAUUCAGUGCUUUUCUUUCCUUUUACACUUCCGUACAUAGAUUUGAUUCCAUGACUGUUUACCUUCUACAGUACAGAGAGAGAGAGAGAGAAUUGUAUUUCAGUCGUCUAUUGUUCUUGCAGGCAUUUACUUUUGUCAUCUGCUGCUCCUGAGCAUGUUAGUACUGGCAACUCAUUUUCUUCUCUCUUACUGAACUUUGCAACUGCUUCUAAGUUUCUCAAGAAUAUUUCUGAUUUUAUUACUGUGUCCAGAUACUUGGCGUGGCAGUAGGAGUGAAGAGAUGGCUGGUGUUGACCAGUAGAAAUCUGUAUAUCUUCGCCUUCAGGGCUAAAAUUAUAAUAAAGUCAUACUGCCUAAUGGCAAGACGACGACCUGGAUUGGGUUGUGAUGGUGGUUGUACAACUAUAAAUGUAAUAAAAUCCAUUGAGUUUUUUUAAAAAAAGACUAGGACUUGGGUUUUCUUAUGCCCAGUGUUGUCUCCACUGACCAGACUAAAUUAUUUCAUGAUUUUUCUUUAUACAUCUAUCACUUGUCGAAGUGGAAGCCCUCCAUGACGAAACGGAGCCCUUGCCAAGUGUUCUAAUUUGUUAGCCUUUUUGUCUCUUGGAUAUUUUCCUUCUUUCUGUUUAGGGAAAAUAUUGAGGUUUUGCUUCACAUAGGGAUCAUUUAUGGGAAAUGCUGCUUAUAAUCUGUGAUAAAAGCUGGGAAAGAUAAGCAUGGUUUUGGGGCCAAUCAGAUAAGUUGAAUUCUUGAUAAACUUAUUUUUUCAUCAUGUUGACUCACCUCUGGCAAGUCUCUUAAACUUUCCGGGCUUCAUUUUUCCCAUCUACAGACUGGAAAUAAUAUUUCUAUUCUCCAGCUUAUGGCAGUUUUUUGAGACGACAGUGGGAUAGGAAAUGUGGGAAGGUAGUAAUCUACAGGUGAGUAGUUAGCAUUUGGAUUUAAGGAGAGACUUCCAGCAACACUCAGGAUUCUGAGUUAGAGCGAAUGCGAAGAUGAGCGUUAAAGUGACGAAUGAAGGUGGGAGACAUUGGACAACUCGCCUAAAAAUGAAAUUAAGGUAUCUACGCAGUAUGCAGGCUGGAUUCAGUGAUGGAGGAGUUGUAA
rnacentral:lncRNA from 1 species